rnacentral:rRNA from 1 species
GACAGAGGUGCCGAGCGUUAGGCGGAAUCACUGGGCUUAAAGCGUGUGUAGGCGGAUCGUUAAGUGCCUUGUGAAAUCCCACGGCUCAACCGUGGAACUGCUUGGCAUACUGGCGAUCUUGAGCCACUUAGGGGCUACCGGAACAAAUGGUGGAGCGGUGAAAUGCGUAGAUAUCAUUUGGAACGCCAAUGGUGAAAACAGGUAGCUGGGAGUGUGCUGACGCUGAGACGCGAAAGCCAGGGGAGCAAACGGG